AACAAACAUGUGGACAAGGAUGAUCCAGUGGAUAUGAUGUACUUGGACUUUCAGAAAACCUUUGAUAAGGUCUCACACCAAAGACUCUUAUGCAAAGCAAGCAGGACCAGAAACUGGUUAAAAGGCACAGUGACACUUUCUACCAGAAGGGUAAAGUUCAUCCAUGGAGGUGACAGAGCUGUCUUGUGGGGUCGGCCUGAGACUGUGGAACAAAUUCUCACCAGAACUAAGGACCUUCAGACACUUCACCAGCUUCCAUUCCACAUAAAAGGUGACAUCAAAGCAGAAUUUUCAGAAGCCUUCAUGAUCCAUUGCUAACUUUGAGUGCUCAGUAACUGACCUUCCAAUGAUCUGUUGUAUGCCAUCCAUCUGUCUCCUUGCUGGUCAUCUGCUACCAUAAUGACCCUCCACCAUUCCUUCUGCAAUAACUUUCUCAAGGAUUUUUCCAUCUCUACACCUAAUGUGACCAAAGUACAUAAAUUUGCAACUGUUGAUUUCCAACAUCAGGAUUUGCUUCUCUCCAAUAAUAUUUCUAACACAGGCAUUCAUCUUUUUUUCUAUCCAGGAGAUACGCAAGAAUCUUUGCCAGCACUACAUUUCAAAAGCUUCAGUUUUCUUCUUGUCAAAAGCAUUAACUUCCCAUUAUUCACAUCCAUAAAUGGCUAUGGAAAAAGUUAGAUUUUUCACUAGUCGCACCUUCGUACAUUUCAAAAUGCCACAA